CAAUCAGCGCGCUGGUGGGAGCGUGACGCUGCGUCUCCGGACGCACAAGCGCGCUGUCCUUGUUCGGGAGAUGGAUGGCCGCCGUGUUUCGGGCUGGGUGUGGCGGCGGCGCCUAACUGUCCGCGCAGCGCUCGAGGACGCAGGCUUUGGCACCGAAGCCCGAAAUCAGAACCAACCCAGAGGCUCCCGCCAACGGUCGGGGCCCCUCGGGGACCAGCCCUUCCCGGGGCUGCUGUCAAAGAACCUCAGUCGGGAGGAGUUGGUUGAUGCGCUGCGGACAGCCGUGGUGGACCGGAAAGGACCUCUAGUGACACUGAACAAGCCACAGGGUCUUCCAGUGACAGGAAAACCAGGAGAGCUGACAUUGCUCUCAGUGCUGCCAGAGCUGAGCCAGUCCCUGGGACUUGGGGAUCGGGAGCUCCAGGUUGUCCGAGCAUCUGGGAAGGAGACCUCUGGGCUUGUACUCCUCUCCAGCUGUCCCCAGAUGACUAGUCGCCUCCAGAAGUUCUUCAUUCAUGCACGGAGAGCCCAGAGGCCCACAGCCACCUACUGUGCUGUCACUAAUGGGAUCCCAGCUACUUCUGAGGGGAAGAUCCAGACCGCCCUGAAACUGGAACACAUUGAUGGGGUCAAUCUUUCAGUUCUGGUGAAGGCCCCAUCCCGAAAGGACAUCCUGGAAGGUGUCAAGAAGACUCUUAGCCACUUUCGUGUGUUGGCCACAGGCUCUGGCUGUGCCCUGGUCCAGCUGCAGCCGCUUACAGUGUUCUCCAGUCAGCUGCAGGUGCACAUGGUACUACAGCUCUGCCCUGUGCUUGGGGACCACACGUACUCUGCCCGCGUGGGCACUGUCCUGGGCCAGCGAUUUCUGCUGCCAGCUGAGAGCACCAAGCCCCAAACACAGACAGAGUCUUGGUCUGUGGACAAGCGCCAGGCUGGAGUGCAGUGGCACAGUCUCGGCUCACUGCAACCUACGCCUCCUGCUUUCAAGCAAUUCACCUGCCUCAGCCUCCCGAGUUGCUGGGACUACAGAGACCUGAAGCCCUCUCCAGGACGCUCAGCCACAUGCCAGGCCCAUGGGAGGGCUGAAUGAGGAGUGGAUCAACUAACAAAUAGAUGGGAAGACAAGUGUCUACAUACCUGGGACAGAAAAAUGGAUGAGUAGAUGGACUGGAAGACAGAUAGGCAGGGGAGAGGAGAAUGGAAUAGGAGGUAGAGAGAUGGGCUGAUGGAUCUGUGGAAGGAUAGGUAGGCAGGGAGUGGAUAGUUGGAUGGGGAGUAUGAAGCUGACGUCAGGUAGGUGAAUGAAGAGAUUAACAAAGGGUGACAGGUGAGAGGAUGGAAGGAUGAGUGGAAGGGUGGGUGGGUAAAUUGGUAGAUCAAAGAGUGGGUGAAUAAGUGGGUGGAUGGGUGAAUGGAUGGAUGGAUGGAUGGGUGGGUGGAUGGAUGGGAUGGAUGGGUGGAUGGAUGGAUGGGUAGAUGUGAAUCAUACACAGAUGUGUGGAUGAACAAGUAGGUGGGUGGAUGGAUGGAUGGAUGGGUAGAUGUGAAUCAUACACAGAUGUGUGGAUGAACAAGUAGGUGGGUGGAUGAAUAGAUAGGUGGAAGGGCAGAUCAGUGGAAGGACAGAUGGGUGGAGGAUAAAUGAGUGGGAGAGUGGAGAUAAGCACAGUACUUACCUGUGGCUUCUUCCUCUUCUGCCUGUAUAGGGUAUGACUUCCACUCAGACUUUACCACCAGCUUGAGAACGUUGCGGGCAGCUGUCAGCCAGAAGUCUUCUGCUCCCGGGGCAUGGGAUACCCUGCUCAGCCUCUAGGCUUGAGGCCUGUUCUGGUUCUAGAACCUGAUCUUGACUUGUCCCAUUUUGGAUCUGGAAUCUGACUCUACCUUUUCUGACUCUAGAGCCUGAGUUUAGAACUUGCUCCUGUUUCAGUUGUGGAACCAAACCCCAAAUCUUACCUGACUUGGCUCAUAUUCUACCUUCAGAAUCUGGCCUGGACCCACUGUCUGAUUUAUUUCAUCUGUUCAUGAUCUAUUUUUAAUACUUAUUCUAUCCCGAGAACCAGACUGUAUCCUACUUCAGAUUUCGAAUGUAAUUUAAACCUGGCAUAGAAUCUGGAUCCAAAUUCUAACCUGAAUUUAGAACAUAUUGUGGAAUUGGAACCUAGUCUGCCUUAGAAACCCAAAGCCUGCUGCCUUCUUUGGAACCCAAUUCAACUAGUGGAACUUGACAUAAGCCUGGAAUCUGUUCUGGAUUCCAAACUCAAGGGACUGAGCAACUUUUAGAACCUGUUCUACAAUAUAAACCAUGCUACCUGAGCUUUUCUGGAGGUCAGAGUUGACCAGACUAAGGGGCUCAUUAAGGGAGGACACAUUAGGGAAGGAUAAAGAUUGAGGGUAGGGAAGGAAGUCUGCUGGGACAGAUAAGGGCAUGAAGAGAGUCCUGCUGCUCUCCAAUAUGAGCUACGUCUUUAGCCCUGCUCCUUCAGCCUCAGGUCCAGGCAUGGGGCUGGGGUCUCCUUACCUAUGAAGGCUUUUUUGUCAUCCUCAGCCCCCAGGCGGUAGCAGCGUGGGAAGAAGGAGUCAGCAUCAGCCUCAUAAAACCAUGGCAAAUUCCGGAGAUUGAGACAUAGACCCACCUAUGGAGUUAGCCGCUGAGGGGGCAGGACAGGACUGCCCACACUCAGCACACAUCCAGACAGCUCAGAAAGCAUCCCACCCGGAUGCUCUCAGAGCCUUGGGCCCACUCGCUUGGUCUGACUUGCUCACAUCUAUCACUGUAUGUUUGCCUGGGCCACGAAUGUCUGACAUCCCUCCUGUCCACCCUUUCACAUUCUUAAAGAGCUGCCAAGGCCAGGUGCGGUAGUUCACACCUGUAAUCCCAGCACUCUGGGAGGCUGAGGUGGGAGGAUUGUCUGAGGCCAGAGGCCAGGAGUUCAAGACCAGCCUGGGCAACAUAGCAAGACCCCAUCUCUUAAAAAUAAAACAAAAAAAGAGCUGCUUCCUCUAGAAUCCUUCUUAACCCACAUCAAUAAUAUAAUGGCAGGUCAUUAUUAUAAAGCCCUUCGUCCUUGCCACAACCCCAGAAGAUAGGCCUUACUGAUAUUCUCAUUGAAAGGUGAGGAAACUGAGACUCAGAGAGGCAAAGUUACUUAAUAAGAAACCCAGGUAAGGCUGGGCAUGGCGGCUCAUGCCUGUAAUCCCAGCACUUUGGGAAGCGGAGGGAGGUGGAUCACCUGAGGUCAUGAGUUGGAGACCAGCUUGGCCAACAUGGUGAAGCGCCGUCUCUACUAACAAAUACAAAAAUCAGCCAGAUGUGGUGACAUGCACCUGUAGUCACAGCUACUCAGGAGGCUGAGGCAGGAGAACUGCUUGAACCCAGGAGACAGAGGUUGCAGUAGGCCGAGAUUGCACCACUGAACUUUUCUCAAAAACAAAAUAAAACAAAACAAAAACAAAGAAACCUAGGUAAGACAGAAUGGGUCCAUUAGCCAGAUAUCUUUGGCUUAGGAGGUAAGAGCCUGCUUGUUCACUAUCACUGGACUUGGUGACUGUUCUACCUCCAGACCCAUUUGAAUGCUGGAACAUAUUUUAGUCACUAUGUCUAUACAUGCCAGAUACCGCACAGGGGUUGGAUUUGAACCAGUCAGAUACUGGUCAGACUUCAAAUCUGAAUUAUAUACUUCCUCUUGCACUGAGAACUUCCUCUUACUGACAAGGAGAGUGGGGAGCAGAGCUGCCAACCCAAGGGCAAGGAGUUGGAAGCUGCCCUGCCUGCUCUGGGGAGCCUACCUUUGUGGUAAAGGAGCCAGCCCGGGCGUAGUGGUUUAUCAUCUGAUCCUUAGAGAGGAAGCGAUAGUCAAGCACGUCCCGCCGAGUGGUCCAGAUGAAGUAGGGAGUCUCAUUCCGAACCAUGCGAGACUAGAGAGAAGGGGAGGAGAUAGAAAGAGACCAGUGUGGGUAGCAGGGCUGAAGGCAGCUUCUCCCUGUCCUGCUGAGCAGGGUGGGUGAACAGGAAGGAGAGGAUGCAGAUGCUUCCAAGGUGGCCUCUAGCCCAUACAUCAUCUUUGUGUAAGGCAAGAAAAGACUUCUCUUCCACCAGGGCACAGGAGGGCAGAGAGCAGGCCAGCCUUUCAACCUCCUUUUGGUCUUAGGGAGGCCAAAGGCUCCCUUCUGCCUCCUUUUGUCACUGUUUAAGGUGUCCUAUGAGGCUUGUCAUUCUCAGCCUCCAGGCAGUAGCAGUGUGAGAAGGAGUUAGCAUCAGCCUCAUCAAACCACAACAAAUUCCGAAGACUAAGACAUAGACCCACCUAUGGAGUUAGCCGCUGAAGGGGCAGGGCCCCUAAGGGUGUUCCCAAGCAGUGACAAAGCUACACAACUUGUUUUGGCCCAUGGUCAUCAGUGACUUGCCCAGGGACAGGACGGUGACUCCAAGCAGAUGGGCACACAGCCUGUGACAAAGGCUAUCUCAUGGACCCCACCUCUCCAUCCUUCCUACAACUCUGGGAUGUGGGAUAAUUAUUAAUAACUAGUGUCAGCAUAUGUCUUUCUAAGCACCUUUCAUGUCAGUUCAUUCAAGGCUCACCACAAUUCUGUGUGGUAGGGGCUACUGUUAUCUGUUUCACAGAUGAGGAAACCGAGGCACAGGGAGGCAAGUAACUUGCCCAAGGGCUCAUGAGAUUGAUCCAUAUGAAGUUGCCAAUAUUCAACCAUUCCUGACAUAGAGAAAUGGCUUUUUUUUUUUUUUUUUGAGAUGGAGUCUGACUCUGUUACCCAGGCUGGAGUGAAGUGGUGUGAUCUUGACUCACUGCAACCUCCGUCUCCUGGGUUCAAGUGAUUCUUCUACCUCAGCUUCCCUAGUAGCUGGGAUUACAGGCAUGCACCACCAUGCCCAGAUAAUUUUUUUUUGUAUUUUUAGUAGAGACGGGGUUUCACCCUGUUCCCCAGGCUGGUCUUGAACACCUGACCUCAAAUGAUCUGCCCACCUUGGCCUCCCAAAGCACUGGGAUUACAGGCAUGACCCACUGUGCCCAUCCAGAAAUGGCAAUUUUGUAUAAUUCAACUCAGUAAGUGGCACUGCCAGGAUGCAAACCUCAACAUGCAUACCAUCACAACCAUCUCUUUCAGAUUUUUUUGUUUUUUUUGUGGGUUUUUUUUUCUUGAGACAGAGUCUCACUCUGUUGCCUAGGCUGGAAUGAGCGCAGUGGUGUGAUCUUGGCCCACUGCAACCUCUGCCUCCCAGUUUCAAGCAAGUCUCCUGCCUCAGCCUGCCAAGUAGCUGGGACUACAGGUGCAUGCCACCACCCCUAGCUAAUUUUUUGUAUUUUUAGUAGACACUGUUUUACCAGGUUAGCCAGGAUGGUCUUGAUCUCCUGACCUUGUUAUCUGCCCACCUUGGCCUCCCUCCCAAAGUGCUGGGAUUACAGGCGUGAGCCACCGCGCCCAGCCUUUUUUUUUUUCAGAUGAAAUAUCACUUGUUCUGUCACCCAGGCUGCGGUACACCAGUGCAAUCUCAGCUCACUACAACCUCUGCCUCCCAGGUUCAAGCAAUUCUCCUGCCUUAGCCGCCUGAGUAGCUGUGUUUACAGGUGCCCGCCAGCACACCUGGCUAACUUUUGUAUUUUUAUUUUUGAGAUGGAGUCUCACUCUGUUGCCCAGGCUGGAAUGCAGUGGUGUGAUCUCUGGUCACUGCAACCUUUGUUACCCAGAUUCAAGCAAUUCUCUUGCCUCAGCCUCCCAAGUAGCUGGGAUUACAGGCAUGUGCCACUAUACCCAGUUAAUUUUUCUACCUUUUUAGUAGAGAUGGGGUUUCACCAUGUUGGCCAGGUUAGUCUCGAACUGACCUCAGGAGUUCGAGAUGUUCCACCAGCCUCGGCCUCCCAAUGUGCUAGGAGUAUAGGCAUGAGCCACUGUACCCGGCCUUUAUUUUAUUUUUUGAGAUAGAAUCUCCCUCUGUCACCCAGGCUGGGGUGCAGUGGUGUGAUCUCAGCUCACAGCAACCUCCACCUCCCAGGUUCAAGCAAUUCUCCUGCCUCAGCCUCCUGAGUAGGGAUUACAGGUGCUUGCCACCACACCCGGCUAAUUUUUUUUUUUGGUAGAGACGAGGUUUCACCUUGUUGGCCAGGCUGGUCUCAAACUCCUGAUCUCAGGGAUCGGCCCCCCUUGGCCUCCUAAAGUACUGGGAUUACAGACGUAAGCCACCCUGCUCAGCCUCUUCCAGAGCUUUUGAAGCCCUUCCUUCCUGCCUUCACUUACCAAGAGCAGAAGAAGGGGAACUAUGCGGGUUUUUAUUUGAAGGGGGAGCUAUCAUACAUGGAGGCUGUGCUGGCAUCUGAUAUGACCUAGCAGAGUUCUGAAUCCAGGCCAGAUGGGACACAGCCCUGCUGUGUCCCUCCUUACUCUGCAGGCCUAGCCAGCCUUUAUUCACUUAUUCCUUUUUCAGAGAUAGAGUCUUGCUCUGCUGCCCAGGCUGCAGUGCAGUAGCAGGCUCAUAGCUCACUGCAGCCUGUAACUCCCAGGUAACCUCCCAAGUAGCUAGGACUAUAGGAACACACCACCACACCUGGAUAAUGUUUUUCUACAUUUUUUGUAGAGACUGGGUCUUACUAUGUUUCCCAGGCUGGUCUUGAACUCCUAGCCUCAAGUGAUCCUCCCACCUCAGCCUCCUCAUUAGCUGGGACCACAGGCAUGAGCCACCAUGCCUAGCUCUAUUCAGCCUUUAAAGAGGCAGUUUUUACUAUAGAUAGGGAAACUGUGGCCCAGAAAAAAAGGACUUGUCUGAGUUCACCCAGCUGGACACCAGUGCUCUCCCUCUAAGCAGGCAGCCCUUGCUUCAUCUUGGCCCCCAGGGCCCUCACCAUCAGAGAAUGUGUUCCAUCUAGGUCAUCAAAUUUCAGUAAAUCAUCGAAGUCGAACACCUGUGGUGGCUGGAACUCCUCAUACUCAUCUUCAUCCUCUGUGGAUGCAGAGCCCAGAGCUGAUGAGGCCCCUCUCCCUGACCCAUAGCCCAUAAGGCCUCCACCCUGGGACAGUGGGAACCAAAGGAAAGGGACUCAGAAGGGACAGCUGCGGAAAGGGAGGGAACAGCUCACCAUCCUCAGUGGUGUCACUGUUACCCAUCACUGAGCUAUCCGGAUCCUUCUGGAGUGGCAGCAGGGUGGAGCCUGAGCAAUGGACCAUCUUCUUCUCCACCCAGCCCCUCUGGCGCAAGAGACACCGGAUCACCGGGUAGCGGCCUUGGAUGGUAAAGAUCUUCUUCUGCUACAAGGGUCUCACUCCAUUGCCCAGGCAGUAUCGUGGCACGAUCUUCACUGCACCCUCUGCUCCUAGGUUCAAGCAAUUCUCCUGCCUAAGCCUCCCUGAGUACCUAGGAUUACAGGAUGUAAGAAAAUACCGCAGGGAGACGGGCUGAACCGCUCCCAGGGUCCUUUCUAAGCGCCCCCGCCCAUCCUCCGACCUUGACAGCUCUCUCCACGUGGAUUUUGGCAUUUUGGAGCCGGUUCAUGUUAGACGCCUUGGAGAAUCGUCGCCAGACGACUGGGGAACCUGCAGAAAGAUGCGGAGUAGGGGUGGGUAGACUGGGGUUUGGUCUAGGGUCUCCGCCUAGGAUCUUUUCUGGCAGCCGAUAGCCAAGCCUCUUCUCUUCCUCCCGCCUUCAUCCGGAUGCCCACCCUCGGCCGCUUUUCUCCCGAUCCCUAUUCCCUCCACCCCAGUGUCUUCUCCUCCUCGCAGCCGCCGUAGGCCAGGGCAAGCGGGUCGCACGGGGCCUCACCAUCCUGCGGCAAGGGGUCAUCCAGGACCAGGGUGUGUGGGGAGUCGAGGGGGUGGGGAUCCACGUCGCCCUGGGCUUGGGUGCGGAGGACCAGGGUCUUGAAGGCGCGGCCAAGGCGGCAAGCAGGGGCGGGGCUGCCCGCCUUGCAUCUGACGCCUGCCCGACCCGCCUCGGGCAGGGCGGAGGCGGGGCCUGGCCAAGGAGGCCUCCCUGGCAGACGGAAAUCGGAGCGGCGUGCGGAGGGUAAACUGGUGCGUGGCUCGGGAGGCUGCAGCUUCCACAGCCGGUGGCACACUGAGCCGCCCUUCUGGCAGUACCAGGAGGCCUAGCCCCAGCGCCCAGGCCCCAGUUCCCCCGCGCUCAGGAGCGGUGGUGCGCCGGGGCCCUGCAUGUGCCCCUCGCCGCGCGCACCCUCCCAGCACCGCUGAUCCUGCCUCCCCUCCGCGUCGCCGCCUCCUCUCCCAGGAGGGCCCUGCCCAGGCUCGAGCCCUGUCCUUCAUUCCAAGCCCCGCCCCGUUUGCUGUUACCUUGGAAACCAUUCCCUGGGAACCAUCAGACCGCUCCCAGCUGGUUUGGGGGCUGCGGUGGGCCCUGAGGCAGUCGAGCGAGGGCUUCUCUAGAAACUGGGGCCUCACCCAGACCGUCGAUAAGCGGGGCACUCAAGGUGGAAGACAGCACUGAGUCCCACUUUAAGUUAGUGUCACGGUUCCUUAUCCAAUACUUCCUGGGUGCCACCGCCCUUAGGGCUUGAGUGAUUCCACAGUAUUUAUAGGCGCUAACGAAUGGUCCCUGACCUCAUGGAGUUUACAUCCCAGUGCGAGGGGAAUAAGAAGCAAGUAACAAAAGAAGAGAAUAGUGACAGGUAUAAUAAGGACAGUCAACAAGCAGAGGUGAAACCAGGAAGGGGGGCACAUUUUAGGUAAGGUGGGGGUAGAGGAUGUCCUCUCUAAAGAGGUGACACAUUUAAGUUGAAGGUGUAAAUUCGAGGAGUCACAAGUCACCAGGGAAAGGGGAGGAACAGUACUUCAGACAGGGGACAGUCCCAGCAACAGCUCUGAGGAGGGUAAGAACCUCUGUGCAAACCACAAGGCAGCUAAUGUGGCUGGAGCCUGGUGAGGCCAGAUCAGACCUGCCAGGCCUGGCAGAUGGGCCUAGGGUAGUGUGUCCUUAGAGAGGGCAGCAUAUGGGGGUAACAAGAAAGUGCAGAGCAUACCUUCCCCAGGAACUUGAAAAUGGAAAAACAUCAUCUGAGUCAAUUGCAAAAGAAAUGUAACAGAUCAGUUAUGCCCAACCCCCAGGCUAAGAGUAAGUAACCUCUUUGGAAGCACUGGAAAAGAAUUAUCCUCAAAAGUUUAAGGCUCCGAGAUGUUAAACAAUUUGCCUCAAAUACCAGAGCAGAGGCGACACUGGAACCCAGUUCUGACUCCAAAGCCUGUCUCUUAAACAUCCCUCUAUAUUAUCACUCAGAAGGUUGCCUUGUUAGUCACAGAAGGACCUCACAGGGGCAGUUUAAGAGGCAAACUCUAGCAGCGUCCAUGCAGGCAGAGUUGGAUACGAGUACCCUGGCCCAAGAGCCCAGCUUUGUUAGUCACUGGGUAUGAGUGAAGGUGGAUCCCCCAACUCUCUGUCCAGCUGCCCCCAACCCCCCUUAGCUGAUGGCUAGACUUCCUGAAAAGUAUACUCCCCAGGAGAGGCAAUUUAGGGAAUUUGGACCCUGGGAGAUAAGUGACAAAUGAGGGUUUUGGCUGGUUCAUGCAGGCAAUGCUUUCCGGUAAGGGUUGUUGAGUGGCCCUAUCAGUCACCCAGUUUCACUGUGAGCACCUUUAACAUUCACUGCAAAGCUAGAACAGAGUCAUAUGCCCUGGAGGGGAACACCUAAUUUGGAGAGGUAGGGGGGUAGGUCACAGAGGUAAUGUCAUAAAGGGGAUGAUAGCACUUUGGGAGGCUGAGGCAGGAGGAUCACCCAAGGCAGGCCAGGCAACAGAGAGACCUUAAAAAAAAAUUAGCUGGGCAUGGUAGUGGCACAGGCCUGUGGUACUAGCUACUCAGGAAGCUGAGGUCAGAGAAUCACUUGAGCCCAGGGAAGCUGAGGCUGCAGUGAGCCAUGACUGUGCCACUGCAUUCCAGCCUGGGUGACAGUGCGAGACCCUAUCUCAAAAAUGAAAAAAAGAAAAAAAAGGGAGGGGGACAAUAGUUAUUUAUGUUGCCCUCACCCCCUGCCUUUAACGUCACCCUUUCAAGAGACCCCUUUGGCCAUCUGGAGGAAUCCCUUUUGAAAGCUCACCUCAGCUGGGUGCGGUGGCUCACUCCUGUAAUACCAGCACUUUGGGAGGCUGAGGCGGGCGGAUCACAAGGUCAGGAGAUCAAGACCAUCAUGGCCAGCAUGGUGAAACAACAUCUCUACUAAAAUACAUAAACUUAGCUGGGUGUGGUGGUGCGUGUCUGUAAUCCCAGCUUCUCGGGAGGCUGAGGGAGAGGAAUCGCUUGAACCCGGGAGGCGGAGGUUGCAGUGAGCUGAGAUCGCAUCACUGCACUCCAAGCUGGCAACAGAGUUAAGACUCCGUCUCAAAAAAAAAAAGCUCAACUCAAAGGUUAACUCUUCUUGAAGCUUACGCUGACAUCCUCUCCUAUAAAUAAUCCCUCUUUGGCCCCCAGACUUCCAAUAUUAAAUAUGAAACACUUCAGUGCACCUUUUACACAUCUAGCUCUUUUCCUGGACCUCCCAAGUCUGAAUGCAAUAACAUCAUGAACACUGGAAAUUAUUCAACAGCCCAGCCACUGGGCUGGUAGAACAAACAACUACAAUUCAGUCAGUGCCUGUGUGGCAGGGACCAUGUCAGAUUAUUCAUAUUCAUUAUCUCCACUUUAUAGACUAAGAAACUGAGACACAAUAGAAAUAACUUGCCCAAAUCUGGCAAGAUUCAGGACUCAAACACAAGGGGUUUUUUACUUCAAGAUGUUACUUGAAGGCUGCACUAGGUAGCACUAGCCAACAUAACUUUCUGCAGUGAUGGGAAUGUCUAUCUAUGUGUUGUAUAUGCUGUGUCUAUAUGCAAGUCUAUAUAUGCUGUUGUAGAUGGUACAGUCACUGGUAGCUGCUAAGUUGCCAGUGGGACCGGGGAACUAGAUUUUAAACCUUUUUUAAUUGUAAUAAUUAAAACUGAAAUAGCCACUCGUGGAUGGUGAUUACUGUUUUAACACAGGCCAAAGUCUACUCUUGCUCACUGGCUGAGAUUUGAGGCAAGCUAUUACAUCUCAUGUCUGGAACCUCAGUUUCCUUAUCCACCAAAUGGGAGCACUGUUUCUCUGUGGUUACUUUUUAGCUCAAGUAAGAUCAUUAUGUGAAAAACACCAAAGCUCUGAACGUUCAGGCAGAGAGAACAGUUUCAAAAAUGAAUGGUGCCUGGACUGCAAUGAAAGGGGUCUCUGGAUUGGGGCCCCUGGCAGGAAUAAUGACAGGACCAAUCAUGAGACUGCACCCAGUGGAGAGCUCCAGGCACAAUUACCAGCCAUCAGGGAAAAUCAGCCCCACCUCCCCUCCUUUCACACAAACACACAGAGCAUAGACCUCAUGCAGCCCCAAAGGGGCAAAAAGAGACUUUAAUUAGGGGAGAGAGGACCCACCAGAAUUAGAAAAGGGACAGCUAGCGUGGGAGCAGAAGAGCCAGAGCAGGCAGGAGGAGGACCCGGCUGGGAAGCUCUGGAGGAGGACUCACCUUGCCACUAUGGCAGGCACUGCACUGACAAAGGCGAAACAGUGGCCCCUCUCAACUGGGAGGGUACCCAAUGGCCCCUAUAGCCAGAGGUUGCCUGGCUUUUGGGCCCCAGGUCCUAGGCAUGACUGGUGGUCCCCAAUUUGGCCCUUGUCCCCAACCAGUGCUGGGUGGCCAUCUUCAGGCAGAACUCAGGAAGCUGGCAGAGGGUUCCCACCACAUAUACUGUGCCCAAGGAGGCUUCGGAAUAAAAGAGCAAGGGAGAGGAACUGGAAUCUGAAACUUCCCUCCCUCCCCACGUGGGAUGGCACAGGAGAGGAAAAAUAGUCGCCUUCUGGGCUCCAGGCCCGCCCAGACCCACAGCAACCAAUAAGGGACAAUCACUGGGACCAGUCACAGCCACUGGAGGUGGAGGUUACUUUAAAAAAAAAAAAAAAAAAAAGACAAAAA